AUGGAGGGAGCCGCAACUUCGGCCAUGGUGGCAGGAGCGGCCCAUCUGCUCGUUCCUCUCUCUGACGGGUCAAAUUUGCCUCCUUAUAAGCUGAUUGUGACAUAUGGGGCGCGCUCUUACAAGAAUUACAAGGCUGAACUGUGCACCGUGUCUUCUUGGAGCUGGGAUAUCCAUGUAGAGAGGCAGACUACUUACAAUCAACUUUUGGGUCUCCUGCAAAAUAAAUAUCCUUGGGGAAAUGAUGAGGGUGUUGUGCUUUCAAGCUGGAAUAGUAGCAGGAAAUAUUUUGUGCUAGUUCGCAACGAUGAAGAUGUGGUGAACAUGUAUGAUGGCAAUGAGGAAGACAAGAUUGUUAAGAUACUUGUCCAGUUCUGCAGGAAUGGCGAGGAGGAGGAGUUUGCUCACAGUUUGCUUCAACCAAUCCCACCUUCUUCUGCGGCAAAGGAAAUGUGCAAGCCCAUAGUGGAUGAUUUAAAUCAAAAUUCUCACUAUGAGUAUGAGAUACCCGAGGAGAACUUGACAAGCCAACAGAGAUCUAAAGAGGGCUAUGAAGGCUAUGAAGGAGAGGAUCAUGUAGGAAUAGAUGAGGAGAACCAGUACCUGAAGGCUUAG
rnacentral:rRNA from 1 species